AUGUCCGCUGUAGCUCGGUGACACUCAAUUGAAAGAAUUGACAAACAAAGGUAACAAAUAACUUUGAUACUAAAACUCACGUAACGUUCUCCUUGCAAAAUUUCACCAACAAGCCACCACAUAGCAUCACAACAGACGAAAUCCUAAGGUGAUGAUAGACGCCAGUCCAACUUCUACACACUUCAACAACCACACAACUUCACCAGUCCAACUUCUACACUGAAGACAAGGCAGUAAUAUGGGUUCAUGUGCCUUGUCUGCAAGUGAUUCCAGAUGUUUCAGCACCUGGGCAACAGUGCUUGGACAGUGCCUGCCAGGAAUAUUCAGAAUGCUUUUCUAUUCACCGUAGCAUACUUCAAGGCAACAGCAAAUGUUACGACAGCCAUUGAUAAUCGGAGAGCAGCAUUGGAAUGUGACAGGUUGUCUGGGCUAAAGCCCUACUAAAUAGAUUUCUUUGGGGAAACUUCGUCUGCUCCUAAGUUACACAGUACUCAACUAACCAUCAUAAGUUACUUUACAAAAUAAAAACAAAUUCAGAUUAGGAUUUCGAGAAGAUUUCAGCUGUAGUUGACCUAGGUGUGCACAGCCUUAGUGCUUGUGUAAAAAGAGAUCAAACGGGACAAUUCAAUUAUGCAAGCUAUGUUUUCCCUAAAUUAAAUAGUCUGCAUUUGCAAGGUAUACUUUUUUUGUCCAGGAUUAAAAAAUUAUAACUGUGGCAUUUAAUGUACAACAUUUCCAAUUAACAUUUUGCAUUCAAGUCAUAGUUAAUCUCUAAAAUAUUGCUACAUUUCCCAGAUCCAAAAUUUUGCUGUUAUUUAUUUUGAAGACAAUUGCAAGAUAGUGCAGAACAAUUGUGGUGAGUAUCAUUUGAUUAAGUUUUAAUUAAUUAAGGGAAAUGUAAGAUAGAUAGGGUAUUGCGGUGUAUUGUGA